rnacentral:lncRNA from 1 species
UUUCAGGUGCGUGCUAACCUCAUUUCCUCCUCUUACAGAGACUCUUCAUUAUCUGACUUCCUUUCUCUUUCUUAUUUAUAUGUGAUUCUGGAGUGUCUAUACGUAGGGCCUGUUUUCUUCCGCUUGCUAAACUUUAGCACCCGUCACAUCGAAUGUUUAGAUACUAAUUAGAAGUAUUAAACGUAGACUAUUUACAAAACCCAUUACAUAAGACGAAUCUAAACGGCGAGACGAAUCUAUUAAGUCUAAUUAGUCCAUGAUUUGACAAUGUGUUGCUACAGUAAAUAUUUGCUAAUGAUGGAUUAAUUAGACUUAAUUAGGCUUAAUAGAUUCGUCUUGCCGUUUAGAUUCCACUUAUGUAAUUGGUUUUGUAAAUAGUCUACGUUUACUACUCCUAAUUAGUAUCUAAACAUUCGAUGUGACACGUGCUAAAAAUAAGACACGGGAAGAAAACGCUUCCGUAGUCUUGUUGUGACGCGAUAUAACCUCACUCUCUCCUUCGAGUACUACUAUGCCAUGUAUGCUAAGAGUUUAAGAGAUAAAUCAUUUAUGAUUAGUAUUUGCCUAGUGCAUCAAUCCUGCU